ensembl:lncRNA
ACUGUGCCCUAGCAAAUGCUCUUCAUCUUGCAUGAAUGGAGAUAUGCUGUACCCAUAUAUGUAAGCCAGUUAAUUGCUUCUGGAGUUCGCUUUAAAAAAAUUACUUCUAAAUGACAGGAUUCACAUAAACAGAGCAAUCUGAUGCCUGAACCUGUGCUUCAAAAAGACACCUUAAAUUUCGGUGAUAAGGAGCUUGUAUGAAAGCUUGUAAUUGAAAGCUGGAGUGAAUUAGGCAUGUAUGCAGAUAUGUGUAUUAGAAUGUGCUACAGUGAGGGAUGCCCUGCCAACAGAUCCCUGUGCCUUUGUGCAGUUUUGGUAGAGAAUGAUGGAAAGUUGCACAGAAUCAGAGGUUGCCACAGCAGUAUCUUUGAAACCCUCUUUUAAUAUUCAUGAAAGAGUCAUAAAAAACUUUUUUGAAUGAUAGCAUAUUUAAUGACAGUCACUGAGUCAUAUGAAACCAAUCUUCUUUUUCAUAUAACAAACAAACUGAGACAUCUGUCCUAUAAAAUAACAGUAGGCUGUGUCUCAUGAAGACACUGUUUUGGAUUGAUAUGAAUCUAAAUGAACAAAAACUGAUACUCGGGUUUUCAGUUUUGUAAUUGAUUUCCUAUAGUUUAGUCCUCUGAUAUGUGAAUGCAUCCCUAUCUGUACAGUAGUGUUUCGUGUAAUAUUUGAAGCAGAUUUUCAAUACCUCACACAGAAAAUACCGACUCAGCUUCACUGUUAGUGUGAAAAGAACGAACAGUUUCUUUCUCACAGCCUGCUGACAUAACGGUCUUCCCUUGGAGUAUUUCAGUCCUUGCUCAUCUUGGGAUUAAUGGAACCAGUACUUACAGCUGCAGUGCCAGAGGCAGGACCCAUAUAUUUCUUUGACCAGAUGAAAGCUAGAAUGAAAGAGAGGGACAGGGAGAUAUCAGGAGAAGUGUCCUCGUAUUGCCACGCGCUCACUACAAAUCCUCAUCCCAUCAGCUGUACUCCCAGCUCCUGCUGUGCAAAAUGAUGCUGACCAGUCACCCAUCACAGUCAGCUUCUCACUUUCAUCCAACAUUUGUGAGGAACAAGGUUUGAUUUUCCAGCUUUCUAACCCAAAGUCUGAAGACGUUCAUCAGAAUCUGCCUUAUGUGUGGACCCUGGUGAGACCUGAGCAAGUUCAAAAACAAAUGUGAAAUGAAUAAUAGGAAAAAAAGAAUAACACAGUGAGUGCAUGUAAUCCAGGAUGGUGAAAGUGACCUACUGAUGGACAGAUCUGCAGCAGAGAUACUGGCCCUUGCUGUCAGUGGAUCUCUGCUAUGUGUGGGUGUGGAGGAUUGGUGCAGUCAGUUCUAUUGCCAGCUUAACCACAGAAAAGAGCAAGCAUUUAACCUGAAAGAAGUUGGGUUUGACAAACCAAUUAUUCUACAGCAUUAUGGUGAUUACAGAGGAGAAACUUUCCCCAGGACAUGGAAGGUUCAGGCUGGCAGGACUGUCACAUCAAAGCUGCCAUAUGACAAACCUCAGAUUCCAGUGGUCAAGAGAGCAAACACAGCACAGAGAAAACUGCACUACAGACUGAAUGAUGGCUCAUCCUUCAUUUAAUAUCCUUUCUUAAGCUCACUUAAAUUCCUGUAAGUGUGUGAAAGGCAGGGGGAGGACUUCUACCGAAGGACAAUCACACAGCGUGUAGCUGAACCGCUUCCAAAAUCCAGCUACAUAUAAAAGAACAAGACUUUAUUCUUUGGGCUUCUUAUCAGACUCUAUUUAUAUGGUACCACAUCUAUAGUCGGUCUACAACAGCAAAG